AAUGUAGAGCCUGAGUAAAGGAUUACCGUGAUAGGGUAAAAUAUGUAAAUAAAAUUACCUUCAUUA
rnacentral:tRNA from 1 species